GGCCUCCCUUGCCACCUGUACAUCAUUACAUUUGGGCAGAGUUAGCAGCUUGCCCUUUUCCUCCCCACAGCAUUGGUGCUUUAGAUGUAGAGGGAGUGGGCAAUUACCCCAUUGUAGCAAUGCUAUAGAACCCAGAUCACUAUACAGUGAACCCGGCUGUGUGUAAAAUUAAAGGUCAAAAGAGCCAAAUGAAAAAAAUCUCUAAG